rnacentral:ncRNA from 13 species
CGUCUAGAGGCCUAGGACACCGCCCUUUCACGGCGGUAACAGGGGUUCGAAUCCCCUUG